rnacentral:rRNA from 1 species
GACGAACGCUGGCGGCGUGCUUAACACAUGCAAGUCGAACGGUGAACUCCGCUUGCGGGGGGAUCAGUGGCGAACGGGUGAGUAACACGUGGGCAACCUGCCCUCAGCUCUGGGAUAACUCCAAGAAAUUGGGGCUAAUACCGGAUAUGACCGCUGACCGCAUGGUCUGGUGGUGGAAAGAUUUAUCGGCUGGGGAUGGGCCCGCGGCCUAUCAGCUUGUUGGUGGGGUAGUGGCCAACCAAGGCGACGACGGGUAGCCGGCCUGAGAGGGUGACCGGCCACACUGGGACUGAGACACGGCCCAGACUCCUACGGGAGGCAGCAGUGGGGAAUAUUGCGCAAUGGGCGAAAGCCUGACGCAGCGACGCCGCGUGGGGGAUGACGGCCUUCGGGUUGUAAACCUCUUUCAGCAGGGACGAAGCGAAAGUGACGGUACCUGCAGAAGAAGCACCGGCCAACUACGUG